UGGGGAAUCUUGCACAAUGGGGGCAACCCUGAUGCAGCGACGCCGCGUGAGCGAUGAAGCCCUUCGGGGCGUAAAGCUCUUUCGACCGGAACGAUAAUGACGGUACCGGGAGACGAAGCUGCGGCUACAUACGUGCCAGCAGCCGCGGUAAUCCGUAGGGGGCAAGCGUUGUCCGGAUUUACUGGGUGUAAAGGGCGCGCAGGCGGGAUAAAAAGUCAGUGGUGAAAUCCUACAGCUUAACUGGAGAACUGCCUUUGAUACUUUUAUUCUUGAGUGCGGGAGAGAGAGACGGAAUUCCAGGUGUAGUGGUGAAAUACGUAGAGAUCUGGAAGAACACCGGUUGCGAAGGCGGUCUCUUGGUCCGACACUGACGCUGAGGCGCGAAAGCGUGGGGAGCAAACA
rnacentral:rRNA from 1 species